GUCCUAUUGUAUUAUUUAAUAGGUCUGGCCUGCCCAGUGAUAAUUUUAACGGCCGCGGUAUAUUGACCGUGCAAAGGUAGCAUAAUCAUUAGUCUUUUAAUAGGAGGCUGGAAUGAAAGGUUUAACGAGAAAUUGACUGUCUCAAUUGCAAUCUUGAAUUUAUCUUUUGAGUCAAAAGACUUAAAUAUAAUUGGUGGACGAGAAGACCCUAUAGAGCUUGACAAUUAUUUUUUUAUAUUUACUUAGUCUGAAAUUAUUUAUUUAUAUUAAAAAAAUUGUUUUGUUGGGGUGACAAUAAAUAUAUAUUUAACUUUUAUCAUAAUAUUAACAUUAAUUUAUGACUUUUGGAUCCAAAAUUUUUGAUCAUUAGACUAAGUUACC
rnacentral:rRNA from 1 species